rnacentral:rRNA from 1 species
CCUACGGGAGGCUGCAGUGGGGAAUAUUGCACAAUGGGCGCAAGCCUGAUGCAGCCAUGCCGCGUGUGUGAAGAAGGCCUUCGGGUUGUAAAGCACUUUCAGCGGUGAGGAAGGCGGUGAGGUUAAUAACCUCAUCGAUUGACGUUACCCGCAGAAGAAGCACCGGCUAACUCCGUGCCAGCAGCCGCGGUAAUACGGAGGGUGCAAGCGUUAAUCGGAAUUACUGGGCGUAAAGCGCACGCAGGCGGUCUGUCAAGUCGGAUGUGAAAUCCCCGGGCUCAACCUGGGAACUGCAUUCGAAACUGGCAGGCUAGAGUCUUGUAGAGGGGGGUAGAAUUCCAGGUGUAGCGGUGAAAUGCGUAGAGAUCUGGAGGAAUACCGGUGGCGAAGGCGGCCCCCUGGACAAAGACUGACGCUCAGGUGCGAAAGCGUGGGGAGCAAACAGGAUUAGAUACCCCAGUAGUC